rnacentral:rRNA from 1 species
UUCUUAUUGAGAGUUUGAUCCUGGCUCAGGAUGAACGCUGGCGGCGUGGAUAAGGCAUGCAAGUCGAUCGCCACACCAUUCAGCUUUUGUGGUAAAAUAAUAACAUGUAUUAUGUUUAUCUAAUCAAAAGCAAAAAACUUCAGAAGAUUUAUACCGGCUACACAACUGAUCUAAGAAAAAGAAUGCAAACUCAUAACUCCGGAAAAUCGGAUUAUACGAGCAGAGGUAUUCCUUGGAACUUAGUCUACUAUGAGGCAUACGCAUCAGAAGAAGAUGCAAAAAAACGUGAAAAUAGUCUGAAGUUAAGAAGUAAAGCAUACGCACAGUUAAGAAAGAGAAUUGAAAAGUCUUCAAAUGAAAGCUGAAUGGUGUGGCGAGGCAAACGGGUUAGUAAUGCAUAGGAACGUACCCUCGAGUCUCGAAUAAUCCCUCGAAAGGGGGAAUAAUGCGAGAUAGUUCUCUUCGGAGUAAAGCCCCGACGCAAGUCGGGACGCUUGAGGAGCGGCCUGUGUCCUAUCAGCUUGUUGGCGGGGUAAAGGCCCACCAAGGCUAUGACGGGUAGGGGAUGUGAGAGCAUGAUCCCCAACAUUGGGACUGAGACACUGCCCAAACACCUACGGGUGGCUGCAGUCGAGAAUCUUCGGCAAUGGGCGAAAGCCUGACCGAGCGACGCCGCGUGAAGGAUGAAGGCCUUCGGGUUGUAAACUUCUUUUGCAAGGGAAGAAACCGUGUUCAGCACGGAGAAUCCAAUUACACUAAAACUUUAGGAAUUGUGUUGAGAAAAAAAUAUUUUUGAGGGGGGUAUAUUAUGUAUGAUCAUGUCAUGGAGGUAAAGGGUGAGGUAACGUCAGAAACUUUCAAGAAAUUAGAUGGAAGUUUGUCCCUGGCGGAUUUAUACCAAAUCGGAACGUGUGAAGUAGCUGACGGCCUGCUGGCAAUAAUAGAAGGUCGUCACAAGAGGUUGAAAGUCUUGUUCAAAGGUGUGGAGAGUUCUCACAAAGCGCAGGAUGCUGUACUUCAUGCCUUUGACGACUUCAAGAACUCCAAGAUUCCAUGAAGAUUUAGUCUUCUGGGCAAGAUCAUUAACUUUAAUAAAGCGAGAUUGCGAACCUGCAUUUCUCGCAAUCUCAACUCAAUUCCUAAAGAAAAAAGUGUCAUUGAAGAUUCCGUGUUGGAUGCGGCUGACGGUACCUUGCGAAUAAGAGGUUGCUAACUCUGUGCCAGCAGCAGCGGUAAUACAGAGACCUCAAGCGUUAUCCGGAUU